GAGCUUUUAAGAAGUCCGGCAGCACAUAUACUAAAAUUGGAACGAUACAGAGAAGAUUAGCAUGGCCCCUGAGCAAGGAUGACACACAAAUUCGUGAAGCGUUCCAUAUUUUU
rnacentral:snRNA from 1 species